rnacentral:tRNA from 1 species
AGAAACUUAGGAUUAUCAACAAACCGAAGGCCUUCAAAGCCUUAAAUAAGAGUUAAACCCUCUUAGUUUCUG